UGCGGAAGUGGCGAAAUUGGUAGACGCGCUAUCUUGAGGGGGUAGUGAGGGAGACCUCAUGGGGGUUCGAGUCCCCCCUUUCGCAU
rnacentral:tRNA from 1 species